rnacentral:rRNA from 1 species
CAGUCACUUGAAUUUGGGUUUUUAACUUAGAUUUGCGUGGCGGACGGGUGAGUAACGCGUACAGAACUUGCCUCACAGCUAGGGACAACAUUUAGAAAUGAAUGCUAAUACCUGAUAUUAUGAUUUUAAGGCAUCUUAGAAUUAUGAAAGCUAUAAGCACUGCGAGAGAGCUUUGCGUCCCAUUAGCUAGCUGGAGAGGUAACAGCUCACCAAGGCGAUGAUGGGUAUCCGGCCUGAGAGGGUGCACGCCCUCAAGGGGACUGAGACACGGCCCUUACUCAUACGGGAGGCAGGAGUGGGGAAUAUUGUACAAUGGACCGAGAGUCUGAUCCAGCACUUCUGUCUACACGAUGAAGUUUUUCGGAAUGUAAAGUGCUUUCGGGUGGGAAGAAAUAAAUGACGGUACCAACAGAAGAAGUGACGGCUAAAUACGUGCCAGCAGCCGCGGUAAUACGUAUGUCACGAGCGUUAUC